rnacentral:tRNA from 1 species
GCGGGAAUAGCUCAGUUGGUAUAGCACAACCUUGCCAAGGUUGGUGUCGCGAGUUCGAGUCUCGUUUCCCGCUCCA